rnacentral:tRNA from 1 species
UCCCGGGUAGCUCAGUUGGUAGAGCGGUCGGCUGUUAACCGAUUGGUCGCAGGUUCGAGUCCUGCCCCGGGAGCCA